AAUCUUUUUAUUUUUCCCUUAGUAGCUUGAUACAGUUACCCUAAUUCAACUGAAAACAUUUUCAUUAAGUUCAAGAGAAAGUGAUAAAGCUCAGUACUGAGUUUAACAGUGGAAUAUGUCUCAGUGAAAUUCUGAGAGGUUUCUUCAGCACAUUAAGGCUCUAUGCAAGGAGAGUAACAUACCACCAGAAGUCUUAUCAUAUGUUCAAAGCUGACUACUACUACAGUAAUCUUGAAAUGAAAAUGAAAUAUUCUCGUGAAGUCUUCUGGAAAUCCUACUUUUUCUUCAAUGUAAUAAUUCUCUGAAUGGAUGGAUCCUCUGAGUUCCUUCACUGUGAAAAAGAUUUGAAGGUGUUGAGACACAACAGCUGUCGUGAAGAAUAUUUUGUAGUGAAAUAUCAAACAAUAGAGCAUUUUACUACACUUCACAUUUAA
rnacentral:lncRNA from 1 species